GAUCUGGCUCAGAUUGAACGCUGGCGGCAGGCCUAACACAUGCAAGUCGAACGGUAACAGGAAGCAGCUUGCUGCUUUGCUGACGAGUGGCGGACGGGUGAGUAAUGUCUGGGAAACUGCCUGAUGGAGGGGGAUAACUACUGGAAACGGUAGCUAAUACCGCAUAACGUCGCAAGACCAAAGAGGGGGGACCUUCGGGCCGUCUUGCCAUCGGAUGUGCCCACGAUGGGAUUAG
rnacentral:rRNA from 1 species